rnacentral:piRNA from 1 species
UGUAAUAGAGAUGUUCCUGUGGUUAGGUGU